ensembl:lncRNA
GUGUUCAUCCGGGACAUUUUCCGUGCAGGUGUCCCCGCUGUCAGCUCCCUCCACGCGGAUCACCGUGUCCGGGGUUCCUCCGUUCAUCCCCAACGAGCUGCUGGAGAACGAGCUGCGGAGGUUCGGCAAGUUGGCCAGCGGCUUCAGGACGCUGAGCCUGGGAUGCAAGGAUCCCAAACUGAGGCACGUCCAGUCCCUGAGGCGACAGGCCUUCAUGUUCCUGGACUCGCCCACGCAAACUCUGGAGGUGUCGUUUAAGUCAAGCACGGUGACGGGCACUACGUGGUGUAUGCGGGCUCGGGAAGUGUGAAAUGCUUCGAGUGUGGAGACGUGGGACACAAACGCUAUGCGUGCCCUCACAGACAUGCGGCGUCCGGCUCCGCGUCCGCGUCCGGCUCCGCGUCUGGUUCCGCGUCUGGUUCCGCCGAUGCGGCGCGCAGCGCCGCUCACGCCGGGGCAGCGGCGGGUGAUGCGGCGCCAGCGGCCGGUGACGCGGCCGGGUGAUGCGGCCGGUCCCGAGUCCGCCUUGCCCAGUGGGCCUGGUGGGCUCGAGGUGGUGGAGGUGGAACAGACUCUGGCCGAGAGGCAGCAGGCGUCUGCGGCUGCAGGAAACCUGAGCAUCUCUCAGUGUGCAGGACCAUCACAAGCACAGGCAGCAGUCAGGACUGAAGCAGACAGAGAGCACGGUGUGACCCCCAGUGAAGAACAGGGGGGGACCCACUAGCCAGGCACCAGCUCAGGGAGAUGACAUGGAGUAUGACUCGGGGUCAGACACAACAUCCGUUGGUGAAACUCCCGUCAAGAGUACUGAUCUCUACUCACUAGAGGAAAUUAACAACUUUCUAGAUGAGACUUUCAAGAAAUCAGUGAAAGUGAGCGAUCACUUCAGUGACAUUGAUAAAUUCAUCAGAUCUGUUAGUAUACUAAAAAGGGUGGUCGGGUUUGAUCUGUUGGAUGAAAAGAAACGCUUCCGACUUAAAAAGCACAUCACAGCUUUGAGGAAAGUGUCAAUAGUUCGACCUGUAAGAAAGACCAGGAAAUAGAACGAUCAUGCAUCACAUGGUGUUUUCUUCUAUUUACGUUUCUCUCCUUGUUUCAACUUGUUUCCUUUUUUCUGAACUCUUUAUGCGGAGCCUCAAGAUAGGAUCUUUAAACAUCAAUGGAGGGAGAGACAGACAGAAAAGGGCUCUAAUUUCUGAACUCUCGACACUAAAACAUACAGAUGUGUUGUUCCUACAGGAAACACAUACUACUCCAGCAGACGAGACAGACUGGGGUCUUUGGUGGGAAGGUCCCAGGGUCCUUAGCCAUGGCACCAACUUCAGUGCAGGAGUAGCUGUGCUGUUCAAAGCAUCUGCAGGGUUAACCUCGUAUCUUUUACUGAAGUGGUGAAGGGCCGUCUGCUUAUUGUUAGAGCAGAAGUAGAAGGGUCAGUUUUUUGUUUCGUUAAUAUUUACGCUCCAAAUCAGGGAACAGAGAGAGUUGGGUUUUUACAACCCUAAGAAAUGAGCUGAGGAAUUACCAGCAGGAUCAGCUCAUCAUCGGUGGAGAUUUUAACUGCACCACGGAUUUCACCAUUGACAGGACAAGUGAGGAACCCCACCCACAGUCAGCUCAGAGCCUCAACAGCCUCAUCACAGAUAUAGAUCUGUUAGAUGCAUGGAGAGUGAAGCAUCCACAAUCUAGGCAGUACACAUGGGUGAGGGUCAGCAAUAACAGGGUGAGUGCAGCAAGACUUGACAGGAUUUACAUCACUCAAAGCCUCAGCUCAAGACUAGCACACAGUAAUAUCAGUCCAGUAGGGUUCACUGACCAUCAUUUCAUUAGUGUAGAGUUGGUCAUCUCACCAGGCAACAGGGUCAAAUCCCACUGGUUUUUCAACAACAAGCUCCUGCAGGACAGUCAUUUCUGUCAGAGCUUUGAAUGCUUUGGCAGAAGUGGAGGGCGGAGAAAACAAACUUUAGUUCUCUGAAGAUGUGGUGGGAGGUGGGUAAAGCACAGAUUCGUGGUUUUUGCCAGCAGUACACCUCCCAUUCGACUGCUUAGAAUCAAGGUAGUUGUCCAGGAGCUGGAAACCACCAUUAAAAACAUUGAAGAGGGGUUGCACAAUAAUCCAGACCCCUCAACAGGUCAACUGUUGAAGGAGAAGAGGUUGGCGUUGAGCUCCUUUCUGCAGGAGAGAGUGAAGGGAGCUCUAGUUAGGUCUCGCUUCCUUCAGCUCAAGGACAUGGACGCCCCCACCUCCUUCUUUUUAAUCUAGAAAGGUCAGCGGCUCAGAGGAAGCAGAUGACCUGCCUUCAACUUCCAGGAGGCAGAGUGACCACCAGUCCAGGAGAGAUGAGGAGCCAUGCGGUGGGUUUCUAUGCCAAUCUCUUUGGGGCGGAGGAGUGCAGCAAGGAGUGCCGUGAGGAGCUCCUGGACGGGCUUCCACAGCUCAACCAGGGUGAGAAAGCU